rnacentral:lncRNA from 1 species
UGAGGACAGCAUAUUUGAAUGCCAUGUUUUUAUUCAAAUUCUUGUUGAUAUUCUAAUUUGAGAAUAUGGUAGUGUCAUCAGAAUUUCAGAUGUUGGUGACCCAGAAGGGUUUAGAUGAUGAUUGGUUUCUGAUGUUCUUAUCAAAAGAAAUUUUUUUGUUAUAAUAAAGGGAAAAAAUUUUGACAUCCAAAAUACUUUUAUUUCAUUAGUUGCUAAAGCAAAAUAAGUUCAUCUUGGACAUUUUAAUUUCUUUGUAAUUAAAACAGAGUCAUGCCUUCAUAAACUCUUUCAAGAUUUUAAUGAAUAAACAAAUUUAUUUUUUCAAAAAUUAAUGUUUUGAAGUUUUAACAAUAUUGCAUACUACAAUGAGUCAAAGCACUUCUUUCACACUCCAACAUUUGCACAUAAUUAAACCAAGCAUCACAUAUUAAGAGGAAAGAGCUAAAAGAAAAUACAAAACAUCAAACAUUUUUGUAUUUCAAUCAAACCCAUACAAUACUUAAUGUACCUAAGAUUUUAAUCAAACUCACUCAUCAAAGAUUUAUAAAGAUGAUUGCAUGGGAAGGAUAGGUUAUAGAUUAAACAAAUCAAGAUUUCUUAAAAACAGAAAAUUACUGAAAUCAUAAAAUUACUGAAAUCAUAUUCAUUACACUCAAAUGGAGACUUAAUUAUUGAUGAAGAUCUCAAAAUCAAACUAUGGAGACUUAAUUAUUGAUGAAGAUCUCAAAAUCAAACUACUCAAAUGAUGGAUUUGUCAAAUCUAAGUUCAUUGCACCUAGCUUCAUCAAAACCUAGAUAACAAGUUGUUUGUUGAUUGAGAUCUCAAGCCAAUAUCUUUAUAGAAUCCAAGCUAAUUUGGUGCGAUGGAGCACAAUUAAUUGGUGGGUAUUGGUUGAGAUGGAAAAUUAUUGAAGCAUAGGCGAUAGGAAGAUGAUUGGAGCUUUGAGUGAUGCCAACAAUGUUGUGUGAGAUGAAAGAAUGAAAGAGAGAGGGACGAGAGAGUUUUCUAUGAUUGGUGACAAGGAAAUUGAGAGAAAAGAAAAGAGAGAAAAUUACAACAAUUUAGGGUUUUAAGGUUAUUCGCCUAGGGUCUUAUAAGCUUGCCAAAUUAGAUGGUCAAGUCAUUUCAUCUAGCUAGUAUAGAGGAGGGUUACGCUCAGUUCAAUAUUGUUAUUAAAAUAAACAAAAUGAAAAGCCACCAAGAUUCUCCAACUGUUGAGAUGUAGCUGGGUGACUAAAAGUUUAUGGAAUCGAAGGACUUCAGCAAAAAUGGGUCUAUGGGGAACCGAAAAUCCGCGUUGGAGGAGGAUCUUGAGGUGGAACUUUCACCAGGAUUAAGAGAAGAAGAGGAAGUAUUUCUAUUCAUUCUAAAAAGAAAAAAGAACACAGAAAGCACCAUAAAAGCAAGG